AACGAACGCUGGCGGCAUGCCUAACACAUGCAAGUCGAACGAGACCUUCGGGUCUAGUGGCGCACGGGUGCGUAACGCGUGGGAACCUGCCCUUAGGUUCGGAAUAACUCCCCGAAAGGGGUGCUAAUACCGGUUAAUUUCUUCGGACCAAAGAUUUAUCGCCUUUGGAUGGGCCCGCGUUGGAUUAGCUAGUUGGUAGGGUAAAAGCCUACCAAGGCGACGAUCCAUAGCUGGUCUGAGAGGAUGAUCAGCCACACUGGGACUGAGACACGGCCCAGACUCCUACGGGAGGCAGCAGUGGGGAAUAUUGGACAAUGGGCGAAAGCCUGAUUCAGCAAUGCCGCGUGAGUGAUGAAGGCCUUAGGGUUGUAAAGCUCUUUUACCCGGGAUGAUAAUGACAGUACCGGGAGAAUAAGCUCCGGCUAACUCCGUG
rnacentral:rRNA from 1 species